AAUAAAUCGUCUUCCUCAGUUUCAAUCAAACAAUCAACUGAAUCUCCAUUUGUAAAACUCAAUUUUCUCUCUCUUCAACAACCUGGUUCGUAUCUCACAUUUUCUGAACUAUUCGAUAUUUAAUUUCUGUUUAUUGUUUAAAAUUUCGCAGCAAUGAGGAAAAACUUCGUGUCCAGAGUUGGUCUUCUACUGAAUUCCUUCUAUGACGGGUUUCAAAUUUCCCAAUUCAAUUGGGAAAAAAAACAGACGAGAUGACGAUAUAUAUUCAUAGUCUGUCAAUCCCCUGAUUCCAGUUUACUGGGUUUGAUGACACAAUGAAUCCCGACAGGUUCUGAUCGUCUUUCAAUUUCUCUUAAAAUUUCAAUUAUUUUUUUCUCUUCAAUUUAAUCGUCGCUUUUAAAAUGUUGGGGUAUAUGAUGAAUCCCAUUUAUCUAAUGGGUAUUUUGCGUCUGAAAUUCUGUGAUGCUUUUUCACCUUGGAGAACUGAUCCCCUUUUCUUAAACUAUCUUUUCAUUUUUCAGUAAAAAUCGUAUCCUUUUGUUUUAUAAAAACUAAAAAUUUUGAUGGGUGAAUUAAUUUGAUUGAUCUUUAAUUGUAUAAACUGGGCAAUUGAUGAAUCUAUAUCGUUCAAAUGGGUAAUUUGCGUCUGAAUUUUAUUGAUGCUAACCAUGAAAAGCUGAUGCCUUUAAAUUUUUUUAAUUCAAGAUUUCGUUUUUGUUACUUAGGAUUUGAAAUGCAUAUUUAUGGGUCAAUGAUGUCUUUUUAGUACUGAAAAUUCUGAAAUAUUUAAUGUUGAUAAAUUUCAAAAUGCUGAGAUCCCAUCAAAUUCUCUCAUUUUAAAUUAAUUGUUUUUGAUAAAAGUAAAUUUAUCGUUGAUUAAAGAUUGCAAUGAGGAUAACAAGCUCCCUCUUCCGAGUUAAAGCUGAAGACAAUUGCUGGCAGAAUCGAACCAAUAAUAUCAGCCACUACUGAGCAAUCUCAAUUUAAUACUGUAUUGAAAUCUUAAUUUUUAUAAUACAAACUAUAAUGUUGUAAGUGAAGCAUCAUGUGAUGAGAUUGGAAAAUAUCUUAGGACACCUUCCAACACAGCCUAAUUUGGCUGUGAAUGAGAAAGAAAAUCCUUUCUGAUGAUGCUCUUCACUUUUUAGUUUUUACCAUUGACAAUGUGGGUAGUUGUUUGUUGUAUCUGGUCAUUGUUUGCAAAUAAAUGUGGGUAUGGAUACUAUACAUUUUGAUAUCGCGUUCGAAACCGAGUGAUGAAGAAUAUAAAUUAGGACAUUGCUAUUGUGGUCUGUAUAUCAAUCACAUUUCGAACUUUAAAGUCAAAUGAAUUUGGCAAUGAGGAUGAAUUAGCACAGCUUUAAUGCCAGUUCUGCUUCAGAAAAUUUUUGAUUGAAAAGCUGUUUCAUUUCCUGAGCUAAAUGAACUUCAAAUUUAAAUAUGGGAUUUUGUUUUUAUAUAGCACUUAAGUUGUUCUUUGAACAUCUUUACGGAAUAACAUCAGGUUUAUUAAAGGAUGUAAAGAGAUUACAAUGAGGAUAACAAGCUCCCUCUUCUGAGUUAAAGUUGAGGACAAUCGCUGGCAGAAUCGAACCAUUAAUACUAGCCACUACUGAGCGAUCUCUUGUUGCAUCUACAUUCUUUAGAAAAUCUUUUAAACUUGUUUUGUAACUAAUAGUUGAGCUUCAUGUGAAGAGUUUGGAAUAUUAUCUUAGGACACCUUCCAACACAGACCUUUUAGGCUGUGGAUGAGAAAGAAAAUCCGUUCUGAUGAUGCUUUUUACAAUUGUUGUAAUUGAUUUGUAUAAACUGUGUGACAUAGUGUAUGCUGUGGAUACCUACAUUUCGUUUUGUUAUAAUAAGAUUAUUGUCGUAAA